rnacentral:rRNA from 1 species
CCUACGGGAGGCAGCAGUGAGGAAUAUUGGUCAAUGGACGAGAGUCUGAACCAGCCAAGUAGCGUGAAGGAUGACUGCCCUAUGGGUUGUAAACUUCUUUUAUAAAGGAAUAAAACGAGGCACGUGUGCCUUUUUGCAUUUACUUUAUGAAUAAGGAUCGGCUAACUCCGUGCCAGCAGCCGCGGUAAUACGGAGGAUCCGAGCGUUAUCCGGAUUUAUUGGGUUUAAAGGGAGCGUAGAUGGGUUGUUAAGUCAGGUGUGAAAGGUUGCGGCUCAACCGUAAAAUUGCAAUUGAUACUGGCAGUCUUGAGUACAGUUGAGGUAGGCGGAAUUCGUGGUGUAGCGGUGAAAUGCUUAGAGAUCACGAAGAACCCCGAUGGCGAAGGCAGCAUACCGGCGCCCAACUGACGCUGAAGCACGAAAGCGUGGGUAUCGAACAGGAUUAGAUACCCCAGUAGUC